rnacentral:tRNA from 1 species
GGAGGAAUGGCUGAGUGGUUUAAAGCGGUAGACUGUAAAUCUAUUGAGGUUUCUCAUCGUAGGUUCGAAUCCUACUUUCUCCU